AAUGUUCGUUUUUGUUCCAAGGGUUAUUUUUAAGCUUAAAUAUCGAAUCACAACGUCCUUAACGCUAGCUGCGAUUUUAUGUUAGUUAUGUACAAUUUUUGAUCUGUUAUACUAUGGCACAGGUGAUAGGUAUUUAUCGUUGUAGAUAUUGUUGAAUAUAGGGAUCAUUGUUAGCAAUCACUAAUAUAGUCUAUAACUGAACCUCGUUCUUCAGUUCAGAUUGGACUCUACUUGGGAUUUCUUUAAAUACAUUUCCAACAGGUACCCAUGC